AAGCAUAUCAAUAAGCGGAGGAAAAGAAACUAACAAGGAUUCCCCUAGUAACUGCGAGUGAAGCGGGAAAAGCUCAAAUUUAAAAUCUGGUGGUCUUUGGCCAUCCGAGUUGUAAUUUAGAGAAGCGUCUUCCGCGCUGGACCGUGCAUAAGUCUCCUGGAAUGGAGCGUCAUAGAGGGUGAGAAUCCCGUCUUUGGCAUGGACCCCAGGGCUUCUGUGAUGCGCUCUCAAAGAGUCGAGUUGUUUGGGAAUGCAGCUCAAAAUGGGUGGUGAACUCCAUCUAAAGCUAAAUAUUGGCGAGAGACCGAUAGCGAACAAGUACCGUGAGGGAAAGAUGAAAAGCACUUUGGAAAGAGAGUGAAACAGUACGUGAAAUUGUUGAAAGGGAAACGCUUGAAGUCAGUCGCGUCGACCGAGACUCAGCCUUGCCUYGGCUUGGUGUACUUCUCGGCUGACGGGUCAGCAUCAAUUUUGAUCCUUGGAUAAUGGCAAGGGAAAGGUAGCACCUUUACAGGUGUGUUAUAGUCCUCUGUCGCAUGCAAGGGUUGGGAUUGAGGAACUCAGCACGCACCUUCUCGGUGUCGGGGCCUUGGCCUACGUUACGUGCUUAGGAUGCUGGCAUAAUGGCUUUAAACGACCCGUCUUGAAACACGGACCAAGGAGUCUAACAUGCCCGCGAGUGUUCGGGUGGAAAACCCGUGCGCGUAAUGAAAGUAAAAGUUGGGACCUCUGUCGUGGAGGGCACCGACGCCCGGACCAGACCUUCUGUGACGGCUCUGCGGUAGAGCGUGUAUGUUGGGACCCGAAAGAUGGUGAACUAUGCCUGAAUAGGGUGAAGCCAGAGGAAACUCUGGUGGAGGCUCGUAGCGAUUCUGACGUGCAAAUCGAUCGUCAAAUUUGGGUAUAGGGGCGAAAGACUAAUCGAACCAUCUAGUAGCUGGUUCCUGCC
rnacentral:rRNA from 1 species